CCAGCUGGAUCACUGUGAUAACGUCAGCUGGAUCACUGUGAUAACGCCAGCUGGAUCACUGUGAUAACGCCAGCUGGAUCACUGUGAUAAUACCAGCUGGAUCACUGUGAUAACAACUUUACUGAAUCUAUUCAUCAAAUGGUUUUGUCGCAUCAUUCUGCUGUAGCAGGGGUUCCUUUAUCACAUAAAAAAAUGCAUAAAUUAGUUAUAAUAAUAAUAAUAAUAAAGGAUAAGGAAAAUAAAGUCUAGAACCAAUUUUCCCAAAUGUUAUACCGCUACUAAAUAUGUUUCAUAAUUUAUAUGAACCCUUUAAUUAUACAUAUUCUCUUUUACAGAAAAUAUAUAGAUCAAUUGAUUGUGACAAAGUCACACAUUGUAUAAGAUUACUUCCCAAGCACUUCAUUUUUUAAAUUGAACCUUUGUUUUAACAGGGAAGACAUGUGCCCUGUAUAUACAACAUGAACAUACAGUUCCUUCUGAAAGUAUUCAGACCCCUUGACUUUUUCCACAUUUUGUUAUGUUACAGGCUUAUUCCAAAAACGGUUACAUUUUUUAAAAUCCUCAUCAAUCUACGAACAAUACUCCAUAAUGACAAAGCGAAAAUAGGUUAUUAGACAUUUUUGCAAAUGUAUUAAAAUCAAAAAACAGAAAUACCUUAUUUGCAUAAGUAUUCAGACCCUUUGCUAUGAGACUAAAUUAAGCUCAGGUGCAUCUUGUUUCCAUUGAUCAUCUUUGAGACAACUUGAUUGGAGUCCAUCUGUGGUAAAUUCAAUUAAUUGGACAUGAUUUGGAAAAGCACACACCUGUCUGUAUGAGGUCCCACAGUUGACAGUGCAUAUCAGAGCAAAAACCAAGCCAUGAGGUUGAAGGAAUUGUCCGUAGAGCUCUGAGACAGGAUUGUGUCAAGGCACAGAUCUGGGGAAGGGUACCAAAAAAUGUCUGCAGCAUUGAAGGUCCCCAAUAACACAGUGGCCUCCAUCAUUAUUAAACGGAAGAAGUUUGGAACCACCAAGACUCUUCCUAGAGCUGGCCAAACUGAGCAAUCGGGGGAGUAGGGCCUUGAUCAGGGGGGUGACCAAGAGCCCGAUGGGAGCUCUGACAGAGCUCCAGAGUUCCUCUGUGGAGAUGGGAGAACCUUCCAGAAGAACAACCAUCUCUGCAGCACUCAACCAAUCAGGGCAUUAUGGUAGAGUGGCCAGACGGAAGCCACUCCUCAGUAAAAGGCACACGACAGCCCACUUGGAGUCUGCUCUGAUGAAUGCCAAGCAUCGCGUCUGGCAGAAACCUGGCACCAUCCCUACGGGGAAGUUUGGUGGUAGCAGCAUCAUGCUGUGGGGAUUUUGGUCAGCAGCAGGGACUGGGAGACUAGUCAGGAUAGAGGAAAAAAUUAACAGAGCAAAGGACAGAGAGAUCCAUGGAGAAAACCUGCUUCAGAGCGCUCAGGACCUCAGACUGGGGCAAAGGUUCCCCUUCCAACAGGACAACAACCCUAAGCACACAGCCAAGACAACACAGGAGUGGCUUCGGGACAAGUCUCUGAAUGUCCUUGAGUGGCCCAGCCAGAGCCCGAACUUGAGCCCGAUCGAACAUCUCUGGAGAGACCUGAAAAUAGCUGUGCAGCGACGCUCCCCAUCCAACCUGACAGAGUUUGAGAGGAUCUGCAGAAAAGAAUGGGAGAAACUCCCCAAAUACAGGUGUGCCAAGCUUGUAGUGUCAUACCCAAGAAGACUCCAGGCUGUAAUCGCUGCCAAAGGUGCUUCAACAAAGUACUAAGUAAAGGGUCUGAAUACUUAUGUAAAUGUGAUAUUGCCUGGGGGGGGGGGGGUUUGCAAACAUUUCUAAAAACCUGUUUUUGCUUUGUCAUAAUGGGGUAUUGUGUGUGGAUUGAUGAGGGAAAAAACUAUUGAAUACAUUUUAUAAUACUUUCCGAAUGCACUGUAAACAUUAUACCCAAACUAUGUACAUAUACAGUAGUUAAUCUGGAACAUUCUUACGAGGGUUUGAAAACAACAUGUAUUUCCUUUUGCCCAUAUUAGGCACAUGUUUUCAAUAAGUAAGUGAUUCCUGCACAGAUAUCAAAUUCGAUUGUAAUUUUGACACAGCCAGAUCAACAGUCGGGGCAAUAGCAUACAUAAUACUAUCAUACAAAUACAGAUGAAGUUUACCAUUUUGAACCGAUUUACCAAUGGUGUUUAUAUAAAUAGUGAAGAGAACAGGUACCAAAAUCAACCCCCGUGGUACACAAUGUACGUCGAGAAAUUCUGACGUAACCCCAUCAAUCACGAUGACUUGAGUUCUGUCACUAAGAUAAUCAUGAAACCGCGAACAGGCGUCAGAGCUCAGGCCUAUCGAGGACAACCUAUUUUAAUAAAAUAGCAUGAACAACAGUAUCAAAAACGUUUUGACAGGUCAACAAACAAAAUAAGCACAUUUCAUUUUAGCAUUGACAAGCCCAUUAACAACUAAAGUGAUUGUUGUAACAGUGCUCUGCCCAGGCCUAAACCCUGAUUGGUUUACAUUCAGAAUACAUUUCUCAGAUAAAAAAAAGAGCAAAGUUGAACACUCAACGAAGGUUCUAGAAUCUUAUCUCGACCAGGAAGCCUUGAAAUGUGGCGAUAAUGAUUAAGAUCUCUACUAUCCUCGUCCUUAUGGAGUGGCAGCACAAGAUCUGAUUUCCAAUACUUUUAGAAUAUUUCCCGAUAACAACGUUAAAUAACAAAUGGGGGUUAUUGAGCCAACAAUGAUCUGUGCCGCACACUUAAGCAGACCGGGAUCCAAUUGGUUGGCCCCUGUGGAUCUAUUGUUGUCUAUUGCUAGCAAAGCAUCCAGGACUUAUUUCUCUGUAAAUAGCCUAAAAGAAAAUCUUUGACUAUAAAUUCUCUGAUCAUUCAGCAAGUUUCCUCUAUCAUCAUCCAGCCCAAUAUCAUUGUGAAUAGGCUUAGAAGUUCUUGCAAAGAGAGAGCCCGCUGAAAUAAAAUGGUGAUUAAAUGCAUCAAAUUAUGGAUUUUUUUAUAAUGAGGCCAGUGUCUGAUUUAAUUUGUUGUUGCAGAGGAGGAAGUUGAACCCUUCAGGGAUCUUCCAGAAUUCAGCCGGGUUCCCAUUACAAUCCGAAAGUGUGGUUGCAUAAUAAUUUGAUUUAGCCUUUCUGAUUUGUCUUGCACAAUGAUUCCUCAGUUGCUUAAAAACUUGCCAGUCCGGGUGUAAGACUGUGUUCCUGGCCUUGACCCAAGCAUCAUCUCUUUUGUGAAUGACUUCUGAUGAUUCCGGAGUGUACCACGCAUUCGACUGACCUCUAACCCUGAUUUUUUUUUUAAGGGAGCAUGAUUAUCUACAACAGUAUUGAAGACAUCUGCAGAAAGGCUCCAAGCUAAAUCAGGUUCAGGGAUUAGAUGAAAUACAAUCAAGGUCACUAAAAUAAAGAUAAUGUAAAAAAAAGCCUCUUCACUGAAGUUCCUCUUUGUGAUGACACGAAGCUUCGCUUUUUAUAUUCUCACAUCUCUAACAGAAACAACUGGGCAGUGGUCACCAGUGUCUUGGGUGAACACACCAGUAGAAACAUAUUUCUCUGGUGUAUUUGUUAAAAUAAGAUCAAUCAAUCAGAGUUGACUUUGAAGGAUCUUUAGGCUUGGGCCGUGAAGGCUUUGUCACCAGCUGGGUUAGGUUUAGAUCAUUGCACAUGUCUUUUAGAUUGUCUGAAGCCUGCAUUUCCCAAUCAUAAUUUAGGUCACCCAGGAUAAUAAAUUCUGAUUUAGUAAAAGAAGACAAUAAACUAGUUUAACUCCUUGAGUGCACAAAGGUUAGCCAAGGGAGGACGGUAGGCCCCUAUAACAGUUAUGGAUACAUUUUCCCCUAGACAAAGGCUAAAAGAUAGGAGAAAAAAAGUAUUUACAAGGGACAAGGGAUUUCGGUAAAGAGACAGGGACAUUUAAAAAAAUAAUGUAAUGGCCACUCCACUACAUCUACCCUGUCUGUCGGCGCUGAACACAUUACAACCCUUAAUACUAAUAUCAGAGUCCAGAAUUUCCCCAGAGAUCCACGUUUCAGUCAAAACUAGAAUGUCCGGAUUCAUCUGCAUAACCCAGAUCUUGAUGUAAUCCAGUUUAGGAAGUAAACUCUAAAUGUUGAAAUGCAUCAACCCAAGUCCUUUAUGAUUUUAUCAAACCGAGGAGGUAUUCAUCAACUUUAUGGAAUUCACACUUGAACUAAAAGUACUGGGUGAGCAGACUACUGUGGAAUCCUCUUUUUAGCUAACAAUAGCAGAUCUAGGAGUGGAUUCAAAACUAAAUGUUCAAGAAAGCGUACAGUAUUACAUAGAGCCAUUAUUGCAUGGAACUCCCUUCCAUCUCAUAUUGCUCAAAUAAACAGCAGACAUGAUUAAAAAAAAAAACUGAAAAAGCAACACCUCACAGCACAAUGCCUCUCCCCUAUUUGACCUAGAUAGGUUGUGUGUAUGUAUUGAUAUGUAGGCUACGUGUGCCGUUUUUAAAUCUAUGUAAUUCUGUCCUUGAGCUGUUCUUGUCUAUUAAUGUUCUGGAUGAUGUCAUGUUUCAUGUGGAGCCCAGGAAGAGUAGCUGCUGGUUUCGCAACAGCUAAUGGGGAUCCUAAUAAACUACCAAAUAAGCCUGGCAGACAACAGUAGGACGAUAACGCUUAGAAAGGAUGGGAGGUAUUACCUGAGCGGGUCUGCCUCCGAGUCUAUAUCUUAACGCAGCCUUGACAUAUGAAGAUAGGGUCCAGGCUCCAAGAUGGAUUGGGUCCAUCAUCUCUGUAAAGCAUCUUUCUUUUCCAAAAAGUGUCGAAAUUGUCUAUUAAAGUUGUGCUAACAGAGUGGCAGUGACAGCCGCAUCUAUUCUCAAAAAUAAUGAUGUAUCAUGAUGAAUGUGUUUAUUUAUUUAACCCGGUAAAUUGACUGAGAACACAUUCUCAUGUACAGCAAUGACCUGGGGAAUAGUUGCAUGGGGGGAGGAGGUGGAUGAAGGAGCCAAAAAUGCAUGCAUUUUGCGUACCAACUACGCAAUUAUCGGUCAAUGUACGCAGGUACGAGAUCCGAGUUAAAAGUACGCAGAAAUGAAUAGGGCCUGAUUUUUUUUUACAUCGUAAUAAAAAAGAAAUCCACUGAGUAAAUCUAGCAUCCCAAUUCUCGAGCUGCAACACACAGACAUGUACUGUGUUUGUGUCAACGGACAUGGAGAUGAAUACAUUAUUAUUCGACAUAGCUACCCCGGGUCUGCUCCUCCGCCUGUUUGUUGUGAUGCUGAGUUUGCCGGCUGUCAGCUGUACGUGAACACAUGGGACAAAUCCCUUUUCGACUCCGUGUGUUGUGGAAAGGUAAACACUAAUUGUUUCAAGCUAACGUUUUGGGUUGCCUAGUUAAAUAAAGGCUAAAUAAAAAAUGUAAAAACGUUAGCAAACAUAAGAUGGACAUUCAGUGGGCUCUAAAAGGCCAGCAGUUCACUCGCAUUUGCUCGUGAAAGAAAUUAAAUGCAAAUCCGAAAAAUAACUGGUUGCAUUUGUGCGAGUGUGAUAUACAUUUAAUUCUGCGUCCCAUUAGUUGUAUUUUCCACCUAACGUGACGAGGAUCCCGCAACCUGAUAGACUGUAACUAUAAUUAUGAUCCACGUCACAAAAAGCAUUGCAACAGUAUAAUCAAAAAUAAAUAGAAACAUCUUGGCAUUAAAUGGAGUCGGGAGUUUAGAAGACUGCGGGAUGACGAAUGAGUGAGUGUCCGGUAUCAGCUAUAGAGGCAAUGCUUCUAACAUGCCUUUGCACUAGAUUUGAGAUUUUAUCAAUUUCUAAAAUCUGAAAUGAUCUAUACGCUGCAAAGAAAUCCAAUAGGCACCUUUACAUAGGCUGAAACACCGGACUCUUCCAGCGGACAGCGUUCAGAUUCCCUUUGCGGUAGCCUAAUGAAGAUUUGUGUAGCCAGUUUGCGGUCUGUGUCGAUGCGAUCAUUUUGUUUUAGUUUUCAAAAUGAUUUUGCUUUUAGUGUUGAUUAGGAACCGUGUCUAAAAAGCCAAUACUUGUGAGCUGGCCCUAGUGAUUGGCCCUGUUUGAGAGAUGACAAGCGUUCCUCUACAAUAAGGACUAAACUUGGGGCCAAGCCAAGCUGGAUCUGAAGACAUUUUAUGCAGACGUCAGAAACGUAUUUAUCUACUGCAGUAGACUACAUGUUGCUGAAAUGUCCAUUUGAGGAUGUUUGCUCCUCCAGCAUGCAGUGGUUGCUGACAUUGGCAACAGGCAGACUGUCGAGUUCUCAUCCCUCAACUUUUUCAUGGCAAGCUUUCCCUGCAUGAUUCCUGAGGGAACCUCCAUGGAUCUGGUGGAAGAUGAGUUUGGACUCUAUCAGGCAACAACCUUUGAGCAGAACCUGGUCAACAUGCGCAAGGAUCAGACCUGGAGAGAAAUCAGCCCAAUGAAAAGGGGGGUAGCCUGGUCUACUCCCACCUUUCGGCUGUGAUGCUGGGGAUAUAUUCCACAGCAAUGCAGACUGGGAACAAAUAUUCAGUCUUGUUUCCAAGAACAAAACCCAGUACAGAGACUCCCUCAGUACAGACCUGCUGAGUGCCCUCGUUACCAAGAAGGUUUCUAUGAUUGCCAGAGGAACAGUUUUCCACAGAGAAGUCUACCCUGAUGCUCUGCUGCAAGGCUAAAUCUGCUAGCUACCAGGCUAAUCUGUCUAGGAAAUGAUUUCCUGAACAUUUGAAGGUCUCCAGAAGAUUAGUUCUCACCCACUGUUUCCUAUCAUAGCUUUUUCCUUUUUAUGAUGGAUAACAUGUUGAUUUGAUACUCAUGCUCCGCUUCAAACCCCAAUUUGGCACGCGCUACGGCCGUGCAGUUGAAUCUCCAAUUUGCCACGCGUGUCUGGUACUCUAAAAAAGUUGGACAGGGUGACAGCCAGAUUGGGAAUUCAGCCAGGACACCAGAGUUAACAGAUCACCGUAGACUUGGAAGGUGGUGCCACCAAUCUGGAUAAAAUCUGUUUCCCCGUAUGAAGGAAAGUGGUUGGUAAAAUAGGUUGGCGAGGAAUCAGCUAAAAGUCAAUCCACACAGUGUGAUAGUUAGUUAGAUUGAAUCACACAGUUAGUAGGAUCACCACAGUUCCAGGCAGCAAGCCAGAACCCAACCACAGACUAAAAACCAGCCAGCAAUAGGACCCACAAUAAACAAGGAACAAAACAGGCCAGCAUUACAACAGCAAGGAGAGAGCAGUGACUUAGCAAAUUCUGGGGCCCAUCAAAACAGCAACACAAUGGAGGCCAUGUUAACAGUAUGAUAGCCAGGAGAGAAGCACCUUGGAGGGGAUGUAGUUUCUAGUAGAGGCCGCUGGAAGCCGGGAGGGGGGCAAGCGCUACAGAGUAAAUCCAAGUUGUCUAAACAAAGUUUGGCGGUAGUCAAACAACAUCCAAGGCGCAAUGUCAAGCAGCAGUAGGCAGGUGUCUACUCAGAUAAUGCCCCAGUGCAGGUCCCAGUUCAGGCCCCAGUGCAGGUCCCAGUUCAGGCCCCAGUGCAGGUCCCAGUUCAGGCCCCAGUGCAGGCCCCAGUGCAGGUCCCAGUGCAGGCCCCAGUGCAGGCCCCAGUGCAGGUCCCAGUGCAGGCCCCAGUGCAGGCCCCAGUGCAGGCCCCAGUGCAGGCCCCAGUGCAGGUCCCAGUUCAGGUCCCAGUGCAGGUUCCAGUGCAGGUCCCAGUGCAGAGUAGGGUGUCCAAGUAUAUCCAAGUAGGCCUCAAAAGUUUCAGCAGACCUGUUUUGUAUGUCUCCUUAAAAACUCUGCAUGCAAUAUUGAGCUAUUGUCCAAUGUGUUCAUAGUCAGAUUAAACAACGCUAAAUAGAGACAAACACAGCUACAAACAUUGAUCAGAGAAAAAAGACCUGCUUACUGGCAUCUUGGUCAUAGCUCAGUUUGUAAAUGCCAUAGAGAUGAACCAAAGAUGUUCCCAUGUGUAUCCGAGUUCCGUCUUCCUUGGGCAUUUUAACACUUGUUUCUAGCCUAAAGCGUUGUGGACUUACGUGUCAAUGUAAAAAUAUAUAUACAGGGCACUCGGAAAGUAUUCAGACCCUUCCCCUUUUCCACAUUUUGUCACAGCCUUAUUGUGAAAUGUAUUUACCAUAUUUUUUCCCUCACAAUACCCAAUAGUGGCAACGUGAAAACAGGUUUUUAGAAAUGUUGGCAAAUGUAUACAUUUUUUAAACAGAAAUACCUUAUUUACAUAAGUAUUCAGACUCUUUGCUAUGAGACUCAAAAUUGAGCUCAGGUGCUUCCUGUUUCCAUUGAUCAUCCUUGAGAUGUUUCUACAACUUGGUUGGAGUCCACCUGUGGUAAAUUCAAUUGAUUGGACAUGAUUUGGAAAGGCACGCACUUGUCUAUAUAAGGUCACACAUUUGACAGUGCAUGUCACAGCAAAAACAAAACCAAGCCAUGAGGUAAAAGGAAUUGUCCGUAGAGCUCCGAGACAGGAUUGUGUCGGCACAGAUCUGGGGAAGGGUACCAAAAAAUGUCUGCAGCAUUGAAGGUCCCCAAGAACACAUGAUCCUCCAUCAUUCUUAAAGGGAAGAAGUUUGGAACCACCAAGGCUCUUCCUAGAGCUGGCUGCCUGGCCAAACUGAGCAAUCGGGGGAGAAGGGCCUUGGUCAGGGAGUUGAUCAAGAACCCGAUGGUCACUCUGACAGAACUCCAGAGUUCCUCUGUGGAGAUGGGAGAACCUUCCAGAAGGACAACCAUCUCUGCAGCACUCCACCAAUCUGGCCUUUUAUGGUAGAGGGGCCAGACUGAAGCCACUCCUCAGUAAAAGGCUCAUGACAGCCCUCUUGGAGUUUGCCAAAAGGCACCUAAAGGACUCUCAGAACAUUCCCUGGUCUGAUGAAACCAAGAUUGAACUCUUUGGCCUGAAUGCCAAGCAUCACGUCUGGAGAUAACCUGGCACCAUCCCUACGGUGAAGCAUGGUGGUGGCAGCAUCAUGCUGUGGAGAUGUUUUUCUGCAGCAGGGACUGGGAGACUAGUCAGGAUCGAGGGAAAGAUGAACGGAGCAAAGUACAGAGAGAUCCUUGAUGAAAACCUGCUCCAGAGCACUCAGGACCUCAGACUGGAGCGAAGGUUCACCUUCCAACAAGACAAUGACCCUAAGCACACAGCCAAGACAAGCUUGUAGCGUCAUACCCAAGAAGACCCGAGGUUGUAAUCGCUGCCAAAGUUGCUUCAACAAAGUACCUUUGUAAAGGGUCUGAAUACUUAUGUGAAUGUCAUAUUUCAGUUUUUUAUUUGUAAUGCAUUUGCAAACAUUUCUAAAAACCUGUUUUACUUUGUCAUUAUGGGUAUAGAUUGAUGAGGGAAAAAAAAUAUUUAAUCCAUUUUAGAAUAAGGCUGUAACGUAACAAAAUGUGGAAAAAGUCAAGGGGUUUGAAUACUUUCAGAAUGCAUUGUAUACUAUAACAAUAUUUCUGUAUUCUCCCCCUAGCUGGCUAUCAAAACACAUUAUGCAGUCACUCCGUCAAAACACAGCCUUCAAAUUUAUGCUGACUGUACAUGAUUGUUUUCUGAAAACAGAGUACAUUCAUCAUCCAAUCACUCAGUCUGUCUGAUGGCUGUACUUACAUCUCUGACUCUUUUCUAAAUAUCUAACUAAAUCUGUGACUAUUUUCCAGUAUCCUUCGCUCACAAACGGAGUUGUUUGUGUGUGUGCGUGUUUGUUUGUGCGUGGCAUGCAUACUUAUUCUGACAUUAAGUGUGGGACCAUGGCAAGUCUCACUGCAGGACUCCUCUCAGAAAUCUAUUUCUCAAAAUCGUUUUUUUUCAUUCUGUGUCCAUCCAAUCAAUAUACUACCUACUGCCCUCUCUCUCUCCUCCUCCUCCCCUCUCUCCUCCCCUCUCUCUCCUCCUCCUCCCCUCUCCUCCUCCUCCUCCUCCCCUCUCUUUCUCUCCUCCUCCUCCCCUCUCUUUCUCUCCUCCUCCUCCCCUCUCUUUCUCUCCUCCUCCUCCCCUCUCUCUCUCUCUCUCUCUCCUCCUCCUCCCCUCUCUUUCUCCUCCUCCCCUCUCUCUCCUCCUCCUCCUCCUCCUCCUCCUCCUCUCUCCUCCUCCUCCCCCUCUCUUUCUCUCCUCCUCCUCCCCUCUCUUUCUCUCCUCCUCCCCCUCUCUCCUCCUCCUCAUCCCCUCUCUUUCUCUCCUCCUCCUCCCCUCUCCACCUCCUCCUCCUCCUCCCCUCUCUUUCUCUCCUCCUCCUCCCCUCUUUCUCUCCUCCUCCUCCCCUCUCUUUCUCUCCUCCUCCUCCUCUCUCUCUCCUCCUCCUCCCCUCUCUUUCUCUCCUCCUCCUCCCCUCUCUUUCUCUCCUCCUCCUCCCCUCUCUUUCUCUCCUUCUCCUCCCCUCUCUCCUCCUCCUCCUCCCCUCUCUCUCCUCCUCCUCCUCCCCUCUCUCCUCCUCUCCUCCCCUCUCUCCUCCUCCUCCUCCCCUCUCUCUCCUCCUCCUCCCCUCUCUCUCCUCCUCCUCCUCCCCUCUCUCUCCUGCUCACUCUGUGAAUGAUUCCCACAUCCUACUCUUCAGGGGCACUACUUUCCAAUCAAUGCUCUUUACAUCUCUCUCUUUCUCUCAAUACCCCACAUCUACCGCUCCUCUUUCUCUCUAUACCCCACAUCUACCCCUCCUCUCUUUAACACUAUACCCAACCUAUACCUCUCAUCUCUUUCCCUCUAUACGCCACCUCACCCUCUCUCUUUCUCCCCCGGCACUCCAUCUUUCUCUAUAUAUUUAUCUCUCCCUAUCAACCCUUUCCCUCUCUGUCUUUCUGUCAAAUAGCAUUUUAUGUGUCACAUGCUUUGUAAACAACGGGUGUAAACAGUGAAAUGCUUACUUACAGACUGUGGUCCAACCUCUUACAUCUAGGGGUUCCACUAGCGGAACCCCUAGCCAACAGCCAAUGGGAUCGCAUGGCGGGAAAUACAAAAACAACUAAAAUACCACAAUUCCAUUUUCUCAAACAUACGACUAUUUUACACCAUUUGAAAGAUAAACCUCUCCUGAAUCCAACCACAUUGUCUGAUUUCAAAAAGGCUUUACAGCGAAAGCAAAACAUUAGAUUAUGUUAGGAUACCACCACAGCAAAAAAACAACAACACAGCCAUUUUCCUAGCAAGGACAGCCAUUUUCCAAGCAAGGGUCCCAAAGCACAAAACCAGCUACAAUUAUGCACUAACCUUUGACGAUCUUCAUCAGAUGACACUCCUAGGACAUUAUGUUAGACAAUACAUGCAUUUUUUGUUCCAUCAAGUUCAUAUUUAUAUCCCCAAAAAAAACAUUUUACAUUGGCGCGUGACGUUCAGAAAAUGUAUUCCCACCAAAAACUUCCUGUGAAUUUACAAAAAUACUCAUCAUAAACGUUGACAAAAUACAUAACAAUUAUUUUAAGAAUUAUAGAUACAGUACUCUUUUAUGCACCCGCUGUGUCAGAUUUCAAAAUAACUUUAUGUAGAAAGCACAUUGUUCAAUAUUCUGAGUACUGAGCACCAUGCUAUUCAGUUAGCCGUCCAGCCACGGCAUCCACAAAACGCUGAAAUAUGUUAAAAAUAUUAUCUUACCUUUGCUGAUCUUCGGCUGAAUGCACUCAGAAGGUCUCCCACUUCCACAAGAAAUGUUCAUUUGUUCGAUAAAGUCCAUCAUUUAUGUCGAAAUAAAUCAGUUUUGAUGGCGCGUCCAGAUCACCAUUCCAAAAUGCAUCUAUCCACCGUCGACGAAAAGUUAUAAAGUUCCCUCAGCGUUUGUAGAAACAUGUCAAACCAUGUUCAAUCAAUCUUUAGGGUGUUAUUAUAGUAGAAUUUCAAUAAUAUUCCAACUGGACAAUAGCAGAUUCAUUACAAAAGAAAAAUGGCUAAUCCUUCGUGAGCGUGCGCGAGGUGAGGCAAUGACACCAGGUCGACCACAUACUGUUCCGGGUAUUAUUAUAUCAAAUUGUAUUCUAGAAGCCUCAAACGAGGUUCUAAUGACUGUUGACAUCUAGUGGAAGCCUUAGGAAUGCAAUAUGAC
rnacentral:lncRNA from 1 species